AUUGAACGCUCGCGGGAUGCUUAACACAUGCAAGUCGAACGAGUGGCGGACGGGUGAGUAAUGUAUGGGAACAUGCCCGGUGGAGGGGGAUAACUACUCGAAAGGGUGGCUAAUACCGCAUACUAUUGGAGGGGCCGAUAUUGGCUUAGAUAGUUGGUGGGGUAAAGGCUCACCAAGGCAACGAUCCCUAGAUGGUCUGAGAGGACGAACAGCCACACUGUGAAUGCGACACGGCCCAGACCCCUACGGGAGGCAGCAGUGGGGAAUAUUGCACAAUGGGCGCAAGCCUGAUGCAGCCAUGCCGCGUGUAUGAAGAAGGCCCUAGGGUUGUAAAGUACUUUCAGCCGGGAGGCGUUACCGACAGAAGAAGCACCGGCUAACUCCGUGCCAGCAGCCGCGGUAAUGC
rnacentral:rRNA from 1 species